rnacentral:rRNA from 1 species
GAUGAACGCUGGCGGCGUGCCUAAUACAUGCAAGUCGAGCGAACAGACGAGGAGCUUGCUCCUCUGACGUUAGCGGUGGACGGGUGAGUAACACGUGGAUAACCUACCUAUAAGACUGGGAUAACUUCGGGAAACCGGAGCUAAUACCGGAUAACAUGUUGAACCGCAUGGUUCAACAGUGAAAGAAGGUCUUGCUGUCACUUAUAGAUGGAUCCGCGCCGCAUUAGCUGGUUGUGAAGGUAACGGCCCACCAAGGCAACGAGGCGUAGCCGACCUGAGAGGGUGCUCGGCCACACUGGAACUGAGACACGGUCCAGACUCCUACGGGAGGCAGCAGUAGGGAAUCUUCCGCAAUGGGCGAAAGCCUGACGGAGCAACGCCGCGUGAGUGAAGAAGGUCUUCGGAUCGUAAAACUCUGUUAUUAGGGAAGAACAAAUGUGUAAGUAACUAUGCACGUCUUGACGGUACCUAAUCAGAAAGCCACGGCUAACUACGUGCCAGCCGCCGCCGUAA